rnacentral:lncRNA from 1 species
AAAAAAAAUUCCAUGGCUUAGUAGAAAUUGAUUUGCUCUUGGAUUUUAAUUAAUUAAUUUUUAAGUUUUUAUUAUUUUUAUUUAAAAAUUUAUAAGAUUGUAUUUCUUAAUACAAGCUUUCUAAAAAGCUAUCACAUAUUUGAGUUGGACUAAAAUUAAUUUUUAGUAAAUUUUAUAUUAGAAAAAAAUUCACUACUUUAUUAAUUUUGU